UCUGUUUGCAGCUGCUGAUGGUUCAUGCCAAUAUUCAUAUCUGGUCCAAACGCUUCAGAAUCCGUGACUGUUAAGUGUUCAGCCUUAAAUGGGACAUCUUAUAUCCAUCUCUUUCAAGGCUCAGGAAACAUCUUGAAAGAAUCCCCCAUUUGUUUUGUUUGAGACAGGAUUUUUCUAUGCAACAGUUAGCUGGAACUUGCUCUGGAGAUCAGGCUGCCCUCAAACUCUGUUUGGGUUCCUGGUUUCAGACUCUUGAGCUCGUUGGCAGGAUCCGUUGUCUACAGAGGCCCAUGGGUAAAGAGGAGCAUCAUGGUAGGCCUUGGUGCACAGAGAAAGCCUGCCGGAGUUGGGGAAUAACAAGAUGCAUAUGGAGGAAGGUUGGAGAUCUUUGUGAUCCACUGGGGAUGGAGGCAGAGAGGAGGGGCUGCUUUCCAGUGGUUUACUACAAAGUGGGGUGACACUGAGGGAUUGCAUUUGGAGGAGAGGUGGGUGGCAGUGGUGAAGAUCUGCAGUUAGGUUCCCUGCUUCCUUGGCUGGAAUGGCCUGCACAGCACAAGGCUUUCAUGGUCUGACCCCGUUCAGUUCUUAGGAUCUAGACUUAAGCACGCCUUUCAUCUGUCUCUAGCUGCAGGAUGCCCUUCUUCCUUCCAUGAGAUUUAUAUCAUACUUGACACUAUGAUACUUGCUUCCUGCUGCACCCUGGAUGUGUACACUUUUAACAUUUUCCGAUUAAACCAUUCCUCUCUUCCCUCUAUGCGUGGCCAAUUGUUUUUUCUUUUCUUCAAGUUUAAAUUAAUAGCUACUUCCUUGGUGGAUGGUUCCUUCAGGGUGUUUUCUCAAAACAAUAAUGCACCUUAGUAAGACUGUUGAUGCCUUUUCUACUCCAGGAGGCUGAAUAGCACCUUCUGGCACUAUGAAGGGUAGCCAGUUCAUUUCAAGCCUGAUUUCUCUAUAGCUUGCAGCAAGGGUGUAUGGCGUCUUCAGAAAUGCAGUCUUAACAACUGCUUCCGACAAAACCAAAUGGCGACUGUCUGUACUGUCUGGCAGAUUCGGGGUCUUUCAUGACUGACUUAUAAGGAUGUAUCCCACAGCAGACA